GCCUGUUUGAGCGUCAUUU
rnacentral:rRNA from 1 species